AGCUAUGAUGAUAGAUAAGGACUGUGACCUGGUAUUUCCUACGGGAUCUGACCAGGAGAUGACCACUUGUUUAAUCUUCUCUCUGAGCUG